GAGAACUGGAAGUUCAGCCCAUGAAAGUCCAGAACACUCUGGCCUACAUCAUGGACUUGGACCCACACCCAAUGAGGAGAAGAUGGAGUUCUUGUUUCUUUAGAAAGUUUGUGAUGUGUCGCACCACAUUGGAUGCCGAAGAAGUUGGCCAAAGACCUUUGGAGAAGCAAUUCUUUUUUGUCAUUGUUUAUAAUUGUAAAUAGUUUUUCUUGUAUGUAUGUAUGUAUGUAUGUAUGUAUAUAUUUAAAAUAGUUUUAUUUAUACUAUAGAGAGUGUAAUAUGUCAUGUUAGAUUAUAGUUUCAGUUCCUGUAUGUGUAUAUAGUUAUAGUUCCUGUAUGUGUAUAGUUAUAUAAGUUUUAUAUUUAUAACAAGUGAAACAUCAUGGCAAAG